UGCGCAGGCGGCGGUUCGCGUGGAUAGGUGAAAUCUCCUGGCUUACCUGGGAGGGUGGUAUCCAGACGGGAUCGCUUGAGGGUCGCAGAGGGGCGUGGAAUUCCGGGUGGAGCGGUGAAAUGCGUAGAGAUCCGGAGGAACACCGACGGCGUAGGCAGCGCCCUGGACGACACCUGACGCUGAGGCACGAAAGCUGGGGGAGCGAACA
rnacentral:rRNA from 1 species